GUUUGACAGUUUAUGAAAAAAUUGAUUAUUCACGUUCAACAAGUUUUUAUUACUCCUUUAAACUAAAACUAGUUAUUAUAAAAUUAAAACCCAAGUAUUUUCCAAUUAUUGAUAUAAAUAUUUGUUUUUCAUCAAUGGACGUCUAACCCAAUCAUAUAUUUAGAAACCGUUAGAAAUUUCCGUUGUAUACGCUUUUUAAACGUUCUAGGCACAUUUGUCAUUUUACGUGCGGAAACCACUCCCGUGGUGUGAGCGGCAUUUUUGCAAAAAUUUGUGACUGAUAAUUAUCAAAUAAAGAAAUCAGGAUGGCUGUAAACGUUUAUGCGACAAAUGUAACGACGGAGAAUCUCAGUCGACAUGAUAUGCUAGCAUGGGUCAAUGAUUGCCUUCAGUCAUCAUUUACCAAAAUCGAGGAACUCUGUACCGGCGCAGCGUACUGCCAAUUUAUGGACAUGCUUUUCCCUGGAAGCGUUCCGCUCAAACGAGUUAAAUACAGAACCAAUUUAGAACACGAAUACAUACAAAAUUUCAAAAUACUCCAAGGUGGCUUUAAAAAGAUGAAUGUAGAUAAGAUUGUACCAAUCGAUAAGCUGGUGAAAGGGCGAUUCCAAGACAACUUUGAGUUUUUGCAGUGGUUUAAGAAGUUUUUUGACGCAAAUAAUGCAGGAUCAGAAUCCUAUGAUGCACUUGCAAUGAGAGGAGGAGAAGCAAUGGGUAGCGGUGGUCAUAAUGCACCACGUGGUACUGGAAUUGUCAAAAGAACAACAACCCCUCGUGAAAUAUCAGCUAAACCUGCCUCUCGAACUGGUGAGGGACCACCGUCUCCAAUUCAUGUGCCUAUCAUGAAGUCCGUAGGCCGAUCUUUGAAUAAAGUACCAACAAGUCGUCCUGUACCAAAGACUGGAACAGUUGGAAAUCGUGGAGAUACGGGGAAAGUAGAUGAACUUAGUUCACAGGUAAUGGAAUUGAAAAUGACUGUUGAUGGUCUCGAAAAGGAGAGAGACUUUUACUUUGGAAAGCUGAGAGAAAUCGAACUUAUGUGCCAAGAACCAGAAAGUGAAGAACCCUCUCCAAUUGUGCGAAAAAUUCUAGAUGUUCUUUAUGCAACUGAGGACGAUGGAAUUGGACAGGAGUGUGAUGAUCAGACGUUUUAAAUACUACUCAAUUGUCUUUUUUCUGUUUAUAUAUAUAAAAAAAAAAAUAAAGGAUGGUUUCGCACCACCUGAAGAGCUAGAGGGACACGGACAUGAUGACGAGGAAGAAUAUUAACUAUAGUGUUUAAAAGAAAAAAAAAUUCAAAUUUUCAUGAAACAGAAGUAAUUAAGACAAGAAUGUUUAAAAAAAACACUAUGCCUCUGCGCUAGUAUCAGUACACCUUGCAUUAUUAGUCCGCUAUUUUUACAUAGCUCACUAUUAAGCGUUUGUGCGUAUUUUUUUUUCUCUUUCUCAAUAUUAUUGUUACAAAGUUUAUUAUUGAUUUUUGUCUUGAAUCUCCACGAAAAUUUUGUUUGAUUUAUCGAAAAGAAAAGAAAAAACGCCAUAUACGCUAAAAAAGAAAUUCGACGAAAAAAAAUAAAUUUUUUUUUUUGUCAACUAAUAACUUCUUUAUUGAAGUCCAAAGCACUCGAAAAGAAAAGUUAUAUUUUGAUUAAUAUUUUCUGUUUAAUUGCAAUCGAUGACUUAAUAUUUAAGGACGACAAAAUAAUUGAAUGCAAAAAAAAAAGAAAAAAUGUAGUGGAGUGUUUUCUAAAUUCUUAUUGUGUUUAAAUGUGCGAGUGUUAAUCUUUUUUAAUAUACCUUUGUAUCGAUACUAUCAUCUUGUAAAAUAAAGUUUUUAGUUUUGGUUCUAAAUAUGA